rnacentral:lncRNA from 1 species
AAAAAAAAAAACAUAUUGAAUACCCUAGCCGCUCGUUUGUUCGCCGGCCGGAUCUCGCCGCUUGUUCCCAUCGCCAGUUCUAGUAUCCAAGAAUCUGCAGGUGCUUGCUCCCAAUCUUCUAUUUGAAGUACAAGUUAGAUGGUACAAGUUAUGUGAUCCCGGACGAUAGACCUUAAAGCUCAACUUAAAGAAGAAAGCGAAGAAAGAUCAGAACUUAAACAACAAUUUCAAGAGUUUAUGUAAAAUUGGCAUCCUACCAAUUGGUGUUAGUUUUUGGAUAUCAUUUUCAAAAAUGUAUUAUAUAUGAAGUUUCGUUGUAAUGCAUGAUUUUUAAGUUUAUGCUAUUGUAAUU